CAGCAGGUCCCAUUCCGCAGGCUUCUCUGUGGGGUGGAUGCAGAGCCACCAUAGGAAGCCAGAGUCUUGUGCUGGGUGUCCGGCUGGGGGCAGAGGUGGCAGAGAUGGUCCAGCAGUCUUCUCCAGGGUCAGCAUCUGAGGAGAUGACCUCAGCCUGUCACAGGCCUGGGUGCAUAACUGGGGUUUAACCAAUGAGAGACUGUAGCAUCCCAGCUCCAGAGCAGGCUUCAUCCGAAGAGACUGAAUCCCAGCUGCCCUGGACAUCUUCACCUGAUUGUCCUCACUCCCACAGUGCCCAACACGGCCCCACCACAGACUGUGCCACCUCUCCUUUGCUGUUAGCAGCAAACAGCAUCACUGCUUCUGGGGCAGAAACUGACUGUUUUUUGGUACCGGGGAUCAAACUUGGGAGCUUGCUCUUGCAAGACAGGCGGGGGAACCACUGAGCUAAAUCCCCGACCCAGAAACUGACUUUUUAAUUCCUUCCCUGUGCUCUUAGCAUGCAGUGGCUCCUCCCCACUCCUGACAGUUUUUGUGGUUCUCUCCAUCCUGCCUCCUUCCUCCUCACUGCCUGUCUUCCACUCACCCAGCCCCAUGCUCCUGUUUGGCUAGCACCCAUCUUGUUCCCUAUGCAGCUGGCUCCCACUGCCACCAGAGCACUUUGUGGUCGUCCCCCUGCCUGGAGCUCUGUGGGCAGAGCCAGGGCCACCGGUGUGUUUCUCAUCCCUGGGGACUGGCAUGGAAUCAGCAUGUGCAGAUCAUUGCUCCCAUCCUGGAAGAACACAGCUCACCUCAGGGAAGUGAUGUGACCCACCUUCGUGACCUCUCCACUCGAGUGUUGGAGCCAGCUGCCCCCUCCUCGAUCCUUCCUGCUGACGCUGGUCCAGCACAGCACUCCCCCUUCGACCACCCCCACCCCUCUGCAUGCCAGUGGCCCUUGGUGCCACUCUCAUCACACCUUCCGUCUUCCCCUUUGCUGCUUCCCUAGAUGAUUCACACUUUGGGCCCUCAGUUGCCAGAUGCCAAGUCCCAAAUCAAUGAAUGGGGCUGGAACUUACGGUCCAGGGUAUAGUGGUUGGGUUUUUGUGGUCAGUUCCAAAAUAGCAACAAGUGCUAUGGGAAAAGUUAAUUUGAGGUCUAAAUAAAUGUCCUAUUGUCAGAGUAAAGGUUUUUGUAGUGUCCUUGAAAUACAUGUGCUUCCUGAAAUACUAAUGCUCAGUAAAAAUAAUGCUUCUGCAUA